rnacentral:lncRNA from 1 species
CCCAAACUUUGUGGAAAAAUAGGUGAUAAGAAUGAGUGUGUGGAUCCUGGAUCAAUUAAUACAUGUAUAGGAGUUUUAGAGAUGAGACAUGUACCUUGGAUGACCUUUGAAUUUACUUCAACCUCAACAUCUAUCAUUAUGAGAGCAUAUGCUUUGCCCUAGGUGUCAUGUGUAGGUUGUCUAUAACGGUAUGGACAAUCACAAAUCUUGUGUUUAGUACUCCCAUAACCAUAGCAUGCAUUAUUGGCACAGUAGCAAGGCUGAUCACCGUGUUUAUUGCCACAAUUAGGACAUUUUGUAGUAGGUCUAAAAUGAGGAACAUACCUGAUGGGUCGAGCUGCAACAACUCUAGGCCUCUUCACUAGAGGAGCAUUAGACGGACCUACCCUCUUCUGGGAAACAAGAAACUUGAAACUGCCAGUGGAGGGUGUGGAUCUCCUAAUAAAC